AUUAUCCCCAUCUCCCCGCAGACCUUUUCACUAAAUACUUUAUUUAGUAUACUGUUUUCUUGCCAUAUGUCCGAUCUCCUUUUUAUAAUGUCUUUACACUCCUUUCCUCAUUUCAUCACAAUACUCGUAUGCCAUUUCAUUCCAUUCCAAAUCUGUUCUUGACUUGCUACAGUAGGCACGCAUCAAAGUAUAGGAGUUAAAUGCCCCCACUGUAUUUAUUUCCUACAUAGAUGUGUUAAAAUG